AGCGAACGCUGGCGGCAGGCUUAACACAUGCAAGUCGAGCGGGCGUAGCAAUACGUCAGCGGCAGACGGGUGAGUAACGCGUGGGAACGUACCUUUUGGUUCGGAACGACACAGGGAAACUUGUGCUAAUACCGGAUAAGCCCUUACGGGGAAAGAUUUAUCGCCGAAAGAUCGGCCCGCGUCUGAUUAGCUAGUUGGUGAGGUAAUGGCUCACCAAGGCGACGAUCAGUAGCUGGUCUGAGAGGAUGAUCAGCCACAUUGGAACUGAGACACGGCCCAAACUCCUACGGGAGGCAGCAGUGGGGAAUAUUGGACAAUGGGGGCAACCCUGAUCCAGCCAUGCCGCGUGAGUGAUGAAGGCCCUAGGGUUGUAAAGCUCUUUUGUGCGGGAAGAUAAUGACGGUACCGCAAGAAUAAGCCCCGGCUAACUUCGUGCCAGCCGCCGCCGUAACAC
rnacentral:rRNA from 1 species